rnacentral:rRNA from 1 species
UGGGGAAUCUUGGACAAUGGGGGCAACCCUGAUCCAGCCAUGCCGCGUGAGUGAUGAAGGCCUUAGGGUCGUAAAGCUCUUUCGCCUGUGAAGAUAAUGACGGUAGCAGGUAAAGAAACCCCGGCUAACUCCGUGCCAGCAGCCGCGGUAAUACGGAGGGGGUUAGCGUUGUUCGGAAUUACUGGGCGUAAAGCGCACGUAGGCGGACCAGAAAGUUGGGGGUGAAAUCCCGGGGGCUCAACCCCGGAACUGCCUCCAAAACUAUUGGUCUAGAGUUCGAGAGAGGUGAGUGGAAUUCCAAGUGUAGAGGUGAAAUUCGUAGAUAUUUGGAGGAACACCAGUGGCGAAGGCGGCUCACUGGCUCGAUACUGACGCUGAGGUGCGAAAGUGUGGGGAGCAAACAGGAUUAGAUACCCUGGUAGUCCACGCCGUAAAACGAUGAGUGCUAGUCGUCGGCAGGCAUGCCUGUCGGUGACGCAGCUAACGCAUUAAGCACUCCGCCUGGGGAGUACGGCCGCAGGUU